rnacentral:misc_RNA from 1 species
AUUCAAGUGCUUUAUAUCCUUUUUUGCCUAUGUUUAUUGGCUGAACUUUCACCAAAGGAACACAGAAAGUCCAUCAAAAGAAGAUUGGAUCUUCAUGAUGAUGAGACAGAUAAUGGGAAUGAUGAUGACUCAAAAUUAGUAGACUUUCUAGAUUCUCUACAUUGUCUUGGAUAGCAAAUUAAAAGGAAGAUGAUCAUACCGACUUAUGAGCAGAAGUUGCAAAGCUGUUUGCAAAUCUUGAGGCAUAUAAAUUUUUCUUAUAUAGUGUGCGCGGAAACACCUCAUUUUGGAGGGGUUCAAUCAUUUGUGAGUUUCUUGGUGGACCUCAUGCACUUGAAGAUUCUGUGGACUUGUAUAAUUUAAUACCUAUCCAACUUCUCUUUAUACUCCAUUAAACAAUCUCACUUUAUGUUUAUUAUUGCAGCAUUAAAUUUGGUGAUUUUUCUCCGCAAGGUAGCUUUGGAACUUCAGGAAACGAUAUGUUGUUGGUCCAGUCCACAUUAUACUUCAUUAGAGAUUGCAGGAUGCAAGAUAGCUUCAGAUGCACAGCCGCAUUGUUUUCUCUGCAAUUUUCUGCUUUGAUUUGAGCUAGUUGUGAGACGACAGAAUAUUGUUCAACUGAGUAGAAAGGUGAAUGAGACGUUCUUUUUUAUUUGUCAUAGAUAUUUAUUUUCAGUCACUGUUAAACUCUAAUUACAAUUGUUACAAAUGAACUAUUUGUUGUUUUGCUCUCAGCAUGUCUUUGGAGCCAUCAACUUUGUCCCAAGUGAAAGACUAAACAGGCUUUGGAGAUUGUUAUCGUGGCCAACUUGAGCUUUGAAAGAGCCAAAGAGAACUGAUAACUGUUGCUUGUGCAAUUUGAGCUUUGAGGUCCCAAUUUGAU